ACAGCAAUAUCAUGUUGAAACAUAAGUUCUCCUACGACCACCAAAGUUAAACAAUGUUGAGCCUGGUUAGUAUCUGGAUGGGUAGGUGUUUGGGAAGACCAGGUGCUGUAA